rnacentral:rRNA from 1 species
GACAGAGGGUGCAAACGUUGUUCGGAAUUACUGGGCAUAAAGCGCACGUAGGUGGUCCGCUAAGUCGCGUGUGAAAUCCCUCGGCUCAACCGAGGAAUUGCGGGCGAUACUGGCGGGCUAGAGAUCGGGAGGGGUGAGUGGAACUCCAGGUGGAGCGGUGAAAUGCGUAGAUAUCUGGAGGAACACCGGUGGCGAAAGCGACUCACUGGCCCGACACUGACACUGAGGUGCGAAAGCUAGGGUAGCAAACGGG